UGGGGAAUUUUGGACAAUGGGGGAAACCCUGAUCCAGCCAUCCCGCGUGUGCGAUGAAGGCCUUCGGGUUGUAAAGCACUUUUGGCAGGAAAGAAACGUCGCGGGUUAAUACCCCGCGGAACUGACGGUACCUGCAGAAUAAGCACCGGCUAACUACGUGCCAGCAGCCGCGGUAAUACGUAGGGUGCAAGCGUUAAUCGGAAUUACUGGGCGUAAAGCGUGCGCAGGCGGUUCGGAAAGAAAGAUGUGAAAUCCCAGAGCUUAACUUUGGAACUGCAUUUUUAACUACCGGGCUAGAGUGUGUCAGAGGGAGGUGGAAUUCCGCGUGUAGCAGUGAAAUGCGUAGAUAUGCGGAGGAACACCGAUGGCGAAGGCAGCCUCCUGGGAUAACACUGACGCUCAUGCACGAAAGCGUGGGGAGCAAACAGGAUUAGAUACCCUGGUAGUCCACGCCCUAAACGAUGUCAACUAGCUGUUGGGGUCUUCGGAACCCUUGGUAGCGCAGCUAACGCGUGAAGUUGACCGCCUGGGGAGUACGGUCGCAAGAUUAAAACUCAAAUGAAUUGACGGGGUCAUAGCUGUUUCCU
rnacentral:rRNA from 1 species